AUUUUGGACAAUGGGGGCAACCCUGAUCCAGCAAUGCCGCGUGAGUGAAGAAGGCCUUCGGGUUGUAAAGCUCUUUUGUCAGGGAAGAAACGGUGGUCUCUAAUAUAGGCUGCUAAUGACGGUACCUGAAGAAUAAGCACCGGCUAACUACGUGCCAGCAGCCGCGGUAAUACGUAGGGUGCAAGCGUUAAUCGGAAUUACUGGGCGUAAAGCGUGCGCAGGCGGUUAUAUAAGUCAGAUGUGAAAUCCCCGGGCUCAACCUGGGAACUGCAUUUGAGACUGUAUGGCUAGAGUGUGUCAGAGGGGGGUAGAAUUCCACGUGUAGCAGUGAAAUGCGUAGAUAUGUGGAGGAAUACCGAUGGCGAAGGCAGCCCCCUGGGAUAACACUGACGCUCAUGCACGAAAGCGUGGGGGAGCAAACA
rnacentral:rRNA from 1 species